GCCAGGCAUUGUAACACAUACCUGUAAUCCCUGACACCAGGGAGGCUGAGGAUGGUGGAUUGCUUGAGUUGGAAAGUUCUGAGCUGCAGUUGGGCCAAAGCUAAACAAGUGUCCUCACUAAGUCUGGAACCAAUAUGGUGAACCUCUGGAAGCAGAGGCCACCAGCCCUUCUAAGUAGGGGGUGAACCGGCCCAGGCUGGAAACAGAGCAUCCUAGUUAAAACUUCUAUGCCAAUUAGUACUGAGGUCAGGCCUGUGAAUGGCCACUGCACUUUCCAUAUGGAAGAGAAAAGGAGACCUAGUCUCAA
rnacentral:SRP_RNA from 1 species